GAGUUUCAGCUCCGUCUGUGGAAAAAAAAUCUGUUAACUUUCUGCUGCGUGAAUGAGGAGGCUAAUAUGCGGCUGAUGAACAGAAUGAAAUUGUGCACAUCACUCGAGGUCUUCACAGUAUCAAUCCUUGAAGAAACAUCACAGAACUCGUUGUUGACACCGAGGGCAAAGGUGAUCCAUUAUUAUCUUCGACAUUACCUGCCCAGUCACUGUGUGUUUUAUGGUUAACUGGUUUGUGAACGUGUGUUGCCUUGCGCAGUAGAUUUCCUGAUUGUUAACUUUCUUCUACUGCAAAGGUUGCUGCGUGACUCAUAUUUUUUCCUCUGUGAUAUCGAUGUGCAUCAAGGCUUUCUAUUGAGUUCAUUGCGAGGAUUCAUUGUCCUUGUAAUGGCUGCAGUUUAUGGAUUUGUCUCAGCUUGAGAUGGAUUACUAUCACCGUGUUUUCUUUUACUACAGCAGAGCAGCACCGAGUUUGGAAAUAGUUUGAACUUGGUAGUUGGAGUGUUUUUUUUUGUUUUGUUUUUUUUUUGCACUUUAAUUAGAUGAAAGCCUUGUACAAGGAAAAAAUCACCGACGGGGUGGUGUGGUGAAACCUGACAUGAAUACGAGUUACUGUUAGAACCUCAGAGUUGAUUAUUUUCCUAUGAGAAGUGUUUUAUUCAUCUUGUACCACAGAAAAUACCAACAGUUAUGAUUUGUUAUUCAUUAAAUGUAUAUUUAUUAAAAUGAUGGCAUUGUUUUAAUCCAUUUCUAGUUAGAUGUACACUUGCAUUUGGCAGACGCCCUUAUCCGGUGCGACAUACAUUUAUCUCAUCUAUAUAUCUGAGCAGUUGAGGGUUAAGGGCCUCGCUCAAGCGCCCAACAGUGGCAGCUUGGCCAAUUAAUAGUCCAGCAUCUUAGCCACGGAGCUACCACUGCCCCAAAAAAUGUUCAUUGCUUUGCAAUGUCUGUGGAAGACGUUUGGGAUAAUAUAGGAGAACUAAGCACUUCAUUCCCUGCUGAAAUUCAUUAUAUAUCUUUCCUCAUGUUUUUAAUUUUUUUAAGUGAAUACUCUAGAGGUACUGUCCAGUGCUGAAACUCUUUUCAUCCGUAUUAUGGAGGUAUUCUUAAUAAAAUGUUGGCGUAGACCCACCUACUUUAUAGUAAAAAAAAAAAACGGUUGGGAUGUUUACAGGGCCAGGCUUGAUGUAAAUGCCUACGUAUGUCGAUGAGAAGUUUCAUUUUUUUGACAAGCUUUCCUACAUCUCUCUGCCGUUCUCCCAUAUCAAGGUUGUCGGAGUUAUUUUUGGGCGUCCUCCUGUGAUGCCGAUCCCACUCGGGCAGCCUAUUUUUACUGCCUCUCACGUCUCGGACAGAACCCACGUCACCAAGCCUGACCACACUACAAUCUAUUUUCACCUCCCUCGGGCCUCGGAAAUUUUUUUAAAAUUUUUUUUUUUUAAUACUUUUUCCCCCAGACCUUCACCAUUUAGCAGAUAUUUAUUCCCCCUGUUGUUUUCUUC
ensembl:lncRNA